rnacentral:lncRNA from 1 species
CCCCGCGCCCGUCCGACCUCUGCGCUGGCCCCGCUGGGGAACUUCGCAGCAUCCUGAACCACUCCUGCAGAAGACAUUUCGUCAUUGGGUAUCCACAAUACUCUGAAAUACCCCCUCCACUGAGGAAAUAAAUCUACAUACAUAAGCACUG